UACAUGUGGGGGCAAGCGUUGUUCGGAAUUACUGGGCAUAAAGGGUGCGUAGGUGGCUUGUUAAGUCAGGGGUGAAAGUUUUCGGCCCAACCGGAAAAUGGCCUUUGAUACUGGCGAGCUCGAGUGCGUGAGGGGUAACCGGAACGAGCAGUGUAGCGGUGAAAUGCGUAGAUAUUGCUCGGAAGGCCAACGGCGAAGGCAGGUUACUGGUACGCAACUGACACUGAGGCACGAAAGCGUGGGGAGCAAACAGG
rnacentral:rRNA from 1 species